ensembl:lncRNA
CAGUAUUAUUAAUCACAAUGAAUAUGUUUAAAGAUUAUGUUUUACUAAGACGGGAGAAAUUAGACCUCAUGCAACUGAAAUAACUGAAGAACAAUUCUCCACUGGACUGGAAAACUGCUGACUCCACCUUGGAAAAAAUGUGUUCAGAAUCCUAAAUUGUACCUUCUUGUCGACAUUUUCUCUAACAGAAAUAGAUUUCUAUGUGCUGCCAAAGUGAUACACACUAAACACAUACUGGCAGGAAGAGAACCGGGCUCUAAUUAUGGUUCUGCUGCUGCUGCUGCUGCUGCUGCUAAGUCACUUCAGUCGUGACCGACUCUUCGAGACCCCAUAGACGGCAGCCCACCAGGCUCCCCCGUCCCUGGGAUUCUCCAGGCAAGAACACUGGAGUGGGUUGCCAUUUCCUUCUCCAAUGCAUGAAAGCGAAAAGUGAAAGUGAAGUUGCUCAGUCGUGUCGGACUCUUAGUGACCCCAUGGACUGCAGCCCACCAGGCUCCUCCGUCCAUGGGAUUUUCCAGGCAAGAGUACUGGAGUGGGGUGCCAUUGCCUUCUAAGAUCUCAGUUCAGUUCAGUUCAGUCGCUCAGUCGUGUCCGACUCUUUGCGACCCCAUGAAUCACAGCACACCAGGCCUCCCUGUCCAUCACCAACUCCCGGAGUUCACUCAGACUCACAUCCAUCGAGUCAGUGAUGCCAUCCAGCCAUCUCAUCCUCUGUCGUCCCCUUCUCCUCCUGCCCCCAAUCCCUCCCAGCAUCAGAG